rnacentral:lncRNA from 1 species
AUCGUUAUAAAUUGAAAAAAACUAAUAUCAACUAAAUUAUUUGUAAUUGUGUUAAAAAAACAAGUAUUGAAUAAUUAAAAAAACAAGUUACUGGAAAAUCGAUAAACAGAAGCAGUUUUUUACCGGAAAUGAAGGAAGGAAUGAAGGAGGCGAUAGAGAGGAGAGCACGGAAAAUGUCUUACGGAAAUUGAAAGGGUAAGACAUUUUCCCUAAAAUGUAACCCAUUUUCGCUUGUUUUGGAGUUCAUUUUCCAAAUGGAAAAUGUUUUCCGCCAAUCAAACGCUGGAAAAGUUGGAAAUGAUUUUCCGGAAAAUCAAUUCCGUCAAUCAAACAGACCCUUAAUGGAAUUAAAAAUGUAUGGACCAAAUAGAGAAAAUUACCAAAUUUCAAAAAUAAUAUGAACCAAAAAAAAAUUUAAAGAUCAAAUUGAAAAAAAUACCAAAUUUAUGUACUAAAUGUUACUUUUUUUUACUAUAUAGAAUACUGCUAACUUCAAUAUGCUGAUUGCUCCAACCACGAGUAUUAUGGACCCUGCUACUUAAUGAUCAUUGUAUCAUCCACAUCUUCAUCAAGCGCGUUGAUGAUUGUUUUUUAUAAAAAGCCACCAUAAAAAAAUUAGUGAACAAAUCAUGGUGACAGCAGCUUAGCACUCACGGAUUUAUUACCCACCGUAAUUAAACAACACACAUUCGCCUUGACAUGCUAACACGUGUUUGCCCGAAAAUAUGAACAAAUUGUCUAACUGAUUUAUUUUAAAUUCAUAAUUGUUGAAAAAGUCUAAAACGAUUUGGUUCAUUCAAAAUAAAAAUUUGUUUUAAAAUUUAAUGGAUCUUUCUGUUCGGAAUCUUUUCCAAAAAAAGUAAAUACAUCGAUGUGCCAACAAACUUUAAUUUUUUAAUUGUUCUUUAAACACGUUAUCAUAUAAUUAAAUAAAUAUUUUUACAGUAUGCUACCCUAGCACGUUUGUGUCUGCCGCCUCUGGCAAGAUUUUAGGUUUUUUGUUCUUCUGUCUUUCUUUUUGGCUUACGGCGUUGUGUCCUUGAAAAUUAUUGAGAAUGAAUUAGCCCAAUUAUCGAUCAACGAAGAGGAAGAUGUUAUUAAAAUUCAAGAAAAUCCAGGUACGAAAAGAAGUGAGGAGUUUUUUCAAUUAGUGGGGUGUUUUCUUACAGCGAGUAUAAUUCACUUUCCAGCUAUGAAAAGUACUAUGGCAAAUCUAUGGCAUCCUAUUCGAGGAGUUUGCAUUCGGGAUCUGGGGGAAAAAAGGUUUUUGUUCCAAUUUUUUUCAUUUUAUGGAUAUGGAGAGGGUUUUGAAAGGCUCCCCAUGGACCUUCAAUAAUCAUCUAUUGAUACUUUAUAGACUGCGAUGGAGGGAGGAUUCGUUGCAGGUCUCUUUAGUGCUAACCCUUUUCUGGGUUCAGAUACACGAAGUGCCUAUUGGUUUGUUUUCUGAAAAUUUAGCAGUGAAUCUAGGGAAUUUUUUGGGGUAUUUUAUGGAAUAUGAUGUGUCAAAUUUAGGGAAAGAAAAUAGAAACUUUAUGAGGGUUAGGGUCCAAGUUGAUAUAAGACGUCCUUUGAAAAGAAAGAAGUUAAUCGGAUUUUGUGGAAGACAAUCAUAUGUUUGUUUUAAAUAUGAAAUAUUGACUAUUUUCUACUUCUAUUGUGGAAAACUGGGCCAUAAUGACUCGUUUUGUGAGGCAAAAAUGAUGACUGGAGUGGAAAUAGCUGAAAUGGGGAGGGAUUUAUCAAUAAAAGCACAAUCCCAAAUAGCUCUGACUAUGAAUAGUGUCUGGCAACGAGAGGAAGAGGAGGGGGGUUCAGACGGGAUUCAGGAGGCAAACAGGAGAUUUAUGAAUAGACCACAGGAAGAGUUUUGGGAAGGCUGUUGAUCCAGUUCUCAGUAUUAAUUUGGAAGGUGGUUUAUUAUGUGAUGAUGCAAAGCAGGUUAGCUCACUGACAGACCAUGGUCAACAUGCGAUGGAUCAUGACUUGGAGGAUGUAGCCUUAGUAGGAGAAGAAGGUAAAAAAAGAUCUAGAAGGGAGAGCGACGACUUAUCAAAGACUGAGGAGUUAAAUUCUCCGGCAAGAAAUAGGAGAUUAAUGGAUCUUAAUCAUUUGUCAUCGGCGGUGCCAAGAGGCAAGCCGACCGGGCAUUAUGAAAAUAAUAAGUUGGAAUGUCCGUGGAUUGGGGAGUCCACGGACAGUUAGAAGACUUCGGCACUCGCUGACGACUUGUGAUCCCCACAUAGUCUUCUUUAUGGAGACUAAACUUUGCGGAAAACAGAUGGAAAGAGUUCGACGGAGAUGUGGUUUUGUGAAUAGAAUUGAGGUGGACGCAGAGGGAACUAGAAGAGGGAUAUGUUUGGCAUGGAAGAAUGAUGUUAAUAUUUCUUUAAAAAUUUUCUUUAAAAGGCAUAUUGACGCGAUAGUCCAUGACGAUGAGAGGGAAGUUAUGUGGCGUUUUACAGGUUUCUAUGGUACCCUGUACGCACAAGAUAAAGAAGAUUCAUGGGCUGUUCUGAAAAAUCUCUCUAAUGGAGAUAAUAUACCAUAGUUAGUAUGUAGAGAUUUCAAUGAAGUCAUGAAUGGAAAUGUUUCGGAAGGCGCUGGAGUUUUGUCAAUUGAAUGAUGUGGGUUAUUCGGGCAGAUGGUUCACAUGGGAAAGAGGUAAUCUCUCAAAAACGAAUAUAUGAGAACGGUUGGAUAGGGGGUGGCAAAUAAGAAAUGAAUUUCACUAUUUUCAGACGUUAAAGCUCAACAUUUGGUUCAUUCUUUUUCUGAUCAUUGUCCCAUUUUAAUUGAUACUAAAAAGAAAACAAGACGACAAAAUGAGAAUAUAUUCGGAAUUGAAAACUGGUGGUUUUUGGAGGACUUAUUCGUUGCUGAAGCUGAGCAGCAGUGGAAGAUGACACCAGGUAAUUUUUUGCAGAAGACGAAAAUCCUAAUGAAGGGGCUGGAAAAUUGGGCUGGAAAAAUACGAAACAAGAAAAAUAGAAAAAGAAAUUUUUAACAACAAAGCUAUCUAAGCUACUCGAUGCUGAAAGGGAUGACAUUAACAUGGCGGAGAUGAUCGAUACGAAGAUUCAACUAAAUAUGGAGUUUGAGAAGGAGGAAAGAUAUUGGGAGCAAAGGGCUCGAUUGAAUUGGUUAAAAUUAGGUGACAAAAAUACAACUUUUUUCCAUAGCCAAGCAACCCAAAGGCAGAGAAAAAACAAGAUCAGGAGGUUACAAAAUGCACAUGGAAAGGAUACAAGAGAUCCUCAAGAAAUAGAAGAAAUAGCAAGAUCCUACUUCCAGAAUUUAUUUGCUUCAGAAAAUCAAGAGAAUCUCGACUAUUUACUCUUGGGUAUUGGUCGAUGUAUCUAUGAAUAGGAAAAUAAAAAGCUGACUGCGCAAUAUACAUGAGAAGAAAUCGCGAGGCUUUGUUCGAGAUGGCAUCCACUAAGGCACCAGGCGAAGAUGGAUUCCCAGCUUUAUUUUAUCAGAAGUGUUGGCAUUUUAUUGGAGAUGAUGUAGUUUCCUUCUGUCUACAACUCUUGAAUGAAGAUAUGAAGGUUAGUUCAAUUAAUACAACUCAUAUUGUGCUCGUUCCAAAAACUAAUAAUAUGGCUAAUGUGACACAUUUUAGGUCAAUUAGUUUAUGCAAUGUCAUUUAUAAAAUAAUGGCAAAAGCUAUAUAGCGAACAAAUUUAGAGGAGUGAUUGAUAAAUGCAUUGAUAGUGCACAAAGUGCCUUUGUGCCAGGAAGAUUAAUCUCAGAUAAUGUUCUACUUGCUUACGAGAUAUUGCAUUCCCUAAAAUAGAAAAGAGUGGGGAAAAAGGGCUAUAUAGCUGUAAAAUUGGACAUGAGUAAGGCUUAUGAUAGAGUUGAAUAGAAUUUUAUUAAAGAAAUAAUGUGUCAAAUGGGUUUCGCUCAAAGUUGGAUUGAUACUAUUAUGAAAUGCAUGACUACCGUUUCUUACAAGGUUGUGGUAAAUGGAAAUAUCGGGGUGACAUUCAGUUCAUCAAGGGACUUCGACAAGGUGAUCCUUUGAGUCCAUUUCUUUUCUUAAUAUGUGGGGAAGGCCUUUCCAGUCUUAUGAGAAAAGCAACAAAUGAAGGUUUUUUGAAGGGUGUCAAAGUAAGCAGAAGAGGACCACAUGUAUCACAUUUAUUAUUUGUAGAUGAUUGCAUUCUUUUUGGGGAGGCAACAUGUAGAGGGGCUAAUACAAUCAAGGAAAUCUUAAGUGAGUAUAAAAGAGGUUCGGGACAGUGUGUGAGUAUGGACAAAUCAACUAUUUUUCUCAGCAAAAAUACGACGGCAGAAGAAAGAAGUCAGGUGGUAAACUUGCUGGGAAUCCGAAGCUCAAAUGAACCAGAACGUUAUCUAGGUUUGCCGACCAUGGUAGGACGAAAAAAGAAGGCUUCUUUUCAAGCUUUGAAACAUAGACUAAGACGGCGUAUUGAUACCUGGAGCAUUAGAUUUUUAUCGCAGGGCAGGAAAGAAGUUUUCAUCAAAGCUGUAUUACAGGCCAUCCCGACAUAUUCAAUGGCUUGCUUCUUACUCCCAAAAAUUUUAUGCGGAGAAAUAGAAGGAAUUAUCGCGAAUUUUUGGUGGAAAAAGGGUCAAGGUAAAGGGGAAUUCAUUGGUGCUCUUGGAAUAAUCUUUGCAGUUUAAAAGAAAAUGGAGGUUUGGGUUUUCGUAAUCUCAGUCAGUUUAAUAUUGCGUUAUUAGCCAAACAGGGGUGGCGUCUUUUUAAUUAUCCAAAUUCACUUUUAGCCAGAGUCUUUAAAGCAAAGUAUUAUCCACAGUCUGUUUUUUUAAGUGCAGAGUUGGGGAAUUUACCUUCUCUUACCUGGAAGAGUAUCUGGGCAGUAAAGAGACUCCUCUUUCAGGGGCUAAGUUGAAGAGUUGGGAGAGGAAACAAUGUUUUCAUUUGGACAGAUCGGUGGAUUCCAGGGAUUGAACCUAGUACAUGGCAGAACGGAGAUGAAAAUAGGGAGCUAAAAACAGUAUCAGAUUUAAUUGAUGUAACAAAUAAGAAGUGGAAAACGGAGGUCAUUAUUAGUACCUUUCAAUCGGAUAUAGCUAAAAAAAUUUUGGAGAUACCACUUGCAGAAACGGACAGUGAAGACUUGCGCGUUUGGAAAGGUGAACCGACCGGAGAGUUCUCUGUACGGAGCACCUAUAAACUAUUACAAGAAGUUGAUUCAAUUUCUAAUAACUUAUUACAGACCGAUUUUAAAGAAUUCUACAGAAAGUUAUGGGAUUUACAACUUCCAUAAAAAACUCUACUGUUUGUCUGGCGAAUAUCCUGGAACUAUAUUCCUACACUAGCCAACCUACGAUACAAGCGAAUAACCACAAAUGUGAGAUGCCCUCGAUGUGGCUUCGGGGAAGAGGACAACUUUUAUGUAUUCCAGCAAUGCCUUACAAGUACUGAAGUUUAGCAUAAUAUUAACAUGGAUUGGGUUACAUCAUAUUCAGAUCAAAAUACCAGAACAUGGCUUACAUGGGUAUUUGCAAAAGGAACUAAGGAACAGUGUCAGAUGUUUUGCUGCGCUUUAUGGAUCAUAUGGAGCUCACGAAAUCAAAUGGCACAUGAAAAAAAACACGCAUCAGAAAGGGACCUUGCACAGAAAAUAGAAAGCUAUAUAGCAGAACUUGAAGAAGUGGGUAAAGAAAGACGUACCUUGAAGACUGCCAGAAUAUAGAGACAUACGGAGGACACAACACAAUUUGAUGCAGCUUUUGAUGCAAACAGGUCUAGAUCGGAGUCGGGGGUCAUUGUACGAAAUCGGAUAGGAGAGAUAAGAGUCUUAAAAACAACCCUUCAUUCCAAUGUCUCAUCUCUAUUUCUUGCAGAGGCAUUCACUUGUCUACAGGCAAUCAAGCUGGGUAUUUCACUGGGCCUCCGAUCAGUCACAAUAAGGGGAGAUUCGAAGACAAUCAUUAAAAAAUGUCAAUCGGCAGAGAUGGAUAAAUCGAUCAUUGGAGCAAUUAUGAAAGAUAUCAAGAGUCAUAGUUCGCUAUUUCAAGAAAUAGAUUUUCAGUUUAUUCAAAAAUCAAAGAACUUCCAAGCCCACAAAAUAGCGAAGGAAGCAUUAGCAAAUGGGGAAGAGAGGUACCUGGUUAGAGAUGAGUCGAUCUACAACGAAGGAGCCAUGGAAGAGGAAUGGUCAAGAAACCCGGAUUGAAGAAAAUUUCAAAAAGAAAGAGAAUUGAAAAUGGUAACAGGAUUGAAGAAAGAACGUUUUGGAAACUGUUAUCUGCCA